rnacentral:rRNA from 1 species
GACAGCAGUAGCCGCGGUAAUGCGGAGGGGGCUAGCGUUGUUCGGAAUUACUGGGCGUAAAGCGCACGUAGGCUGCUUUGUAAGUCAGAGGUGAAAGCCCGGGGCUCAACCCCGGAUGUGCCUCUGAGACUGCAGGGCUAGAACGUCGGAGAGGUGAGUGGAAUUCCGAGUGUAGAGGUGAAAUUCGUAGAUAUUCGGAAGAACACCAGUGGCGAAGGCGGCUCACUGGACGACUGUUGACGCUGAGGUGCGAAAGCGUGGGGAGCAAACAGGAUUAGAUACCCGUGUAGUCCUGUCUCUUAUACA